UCUACAUCAAGCCUGAACCUCAGGGCUUCAGCUUCUAUGGUCCAGACAGUCUGCCAGGGAUUUCACCCAUGUGACAGCUCUGAGUCUCACAGCAAGUCUAGAUGUAGGUGCUAUUGUCACUGCUUUAUAGAUGCAGAAAAGGAGGCUCAGCAACUUUCUCAAGGCCAUUCAGUGAGCAGAGUCAGACUGGAUGUCCAGAGGUCUCUGAAGCACAGGCCUAGUGAUCAUGAGCAUAACCUGUUCAAAAGCCCAGAUGCCAAUGAAAAGAGGAGGUAUGAAAGGAGAGUGAGGGAAAGAUGAGAUUUGUUGAGCUAGCAUAGAGACAGAACUGGGGUGUGUGUGUGUGUGUGUGUGUGUAUGUAUGUAAAUAGUAAUGAGGGUAGUAGCUUAGUAAAGAAGACCAUCUAACUUAUAAAGCAGCAUAAAUACAUUAUAGUAGCAUCAAUUCUGAGUCCUGGGAGCAAGAGAUCCUCAAUUCAAGAAGCAAAAGUAUAUUGAGCCUCUACUACUUUCAACCAACCCCUGGAGAUACAUGCAUGAAAUAUAUCAUUGCAUGUAGAAGACACUACUUCUUGGAAGUUCUACAAAUACUCUGUGGAAUAUUCAAACUACAAAAAUCAUGUCCAUCAUAGGAAGUCUUUUAAUCUACAUAGUUACUUCCAGCCUGGAAGUUGCCACCACUUUUGCUCUCCAGUUGUCCUUCCUGAAGUGGCUAGUCCUACCUGGGAUCUGCUCAUCAGGUAGUCAUCCGUUAAAUGGUGGCCUCCAACUUCAGAUAAAGCACUGCCUCUCAGACUUUUAAGUACACACAAAUCAAUUGGAAAUGCCCUUCAAAUACAGAUUAUGAUUCAGAUGA